rnacentral:rRNA from 1 species
CCUGCGGAGGGAUCAUUACCGAGUUUACAAACUCCCAAACCCUUUGUGAACCUUACCAUAUCGUUGCUUCGGCGGGACCGCCCCGGCGCCCUCGCGGCCCGGACCCAGGCGCCCGCCGGAGACCCCAAACUCUAUGUUUUACUGUACAUCUCCUCUGAGUGACACAUAAACAAUAAAUAAAAACUUUUAACAACGGAUCUCUUGGUUCUGGCAUCGAUGAAGAACGCAGCGAAAUGCGAUAAGUAAUGUGAAUUGCAGAAUUCAGUGAAUCAUCGAAUCUUUGAACGCACAUUGCGCCCGCCAGUAUUCUGGCGGGCAUGCCUGUUCGAGCGUCAUUUCAACCCUCAGGCCCCCAGUGCCUGGCGUUGGGGAUCGGCACCCGGGCGAACCGCGCAAGCGGCGCGCCCCGCCGGCCCCGAAAUCUAGUGGCGGUCUCGCUGUAGUCCUCCUCUGCGUAGUAGCACAACCUCGCAGCUGGAACUCGGCGGUGGCCCUGCCGUUAAACACCCCACUUCUGAAAGUUGACCUCGGAUCAGGUAGGAAUACCCGCUGAACUUAAGCAUAUCAAU